UGAGCUAUGAGGAUAGAAAUAUUAUAUUGAUUAACCCUGAUGACUUUAUACGCUAUUCUGAGCCAGGA
ensembl:snoRNA SNORD54 small nucleolar RNA U54